rnacentral:rRNA from 1 species
UGCCCCCUCCCCCGGGAUAGCCGCCCGAAAGGACGGGUAAUACCGGAUACCCCGGGGUGCCGCAUGGCACCCCGGCUAAAGCCCCGACGGGAGGGGAUGGCUCCGCGGCCCAUCAGGUAGACGGCGGGGUGACGGCCCACCGUGCCGACAACGGGUAGCCGGGUUGAGAGACCGACCGGCCAGAUUGGGACUGAGACACGGCCCAGACUCCUACGGGAGGCAGCAGUGGGGAAUCUUGCGCAAUGGGGGGAACCCUGACGCAGCGACGCCGCGUGCGGGACGGAGGCCUUCGGGUCGUAAACCGCUUUCAGCAGGGAAGAGUCAAGACUGUACCUGCAGAAGAAGCCCCGGCUAACUACGUGCCAGCAGCCGCGGUAAUACGUAGGGGGCGAGCGUUAUCCGGAUUCAUUGGGCGUAAAGCGCGCGUAGGCGGCCCGGCAGGCCGGGGGUCGAAGCGGGGGGCUCAACCCCCCGAAGCCCCCGGAACCUCCGCGGCUUGGGUCCGGUAGGGGAGGGUGGAACACCCGGUGUAGCGGUGGAAUGCGCAGAUAUCGGGUGGAACACCGGUGGCGAAGGCGGCCCUCUGGGCCGAGACCGACGCUGAGGCGCGAAAGCUGGGGGAGCGAACAGGAUUAGAUACCCUGGUAGUCCCAGCCGUAAACGAUGGACGCUAGGUGUGGGGGGACGAUCCCCCCGUGCCGCAG